AAGUAAACAUCUGUAUAAAAUAUAACCGAUGUCAAACUUUUUACCACUGGAAUUCGGCAGAGCUCAGCUCGGCUCGGCUUGCUUACUGGUCGUCGUUUUUACGUUUCCGUCUUCUCAUUUUCAUAUCAAACAGUAAAUCGAACAGCUACAAAAAUUCAAGCAAUAUGUUACCGACGGUUAGCAAAACGCGGUCGUCGAUCUCCACAUCACGUCCUAACGCCAUGUUCCCUCAGUAUCUCCGUCGAAUCGUCAAGUGGCAACAAAUGGAUAUUGAAUAUACAUUCUGGCAAAUGCUUCAUCUAUGUACUGCACCAAAGAAUGUCUAUCAGCACACAAAGUAUCACAAACGUAAGUAAUUUCUGUUAAAUGAAUGUGUUUUUUAUCUGAUUCUGCCGAGUUGGAGGACCAAUGUUAAUCACAGGAUGCCUUUUUCUUUUCCCAAGAGGAAUGCUGACUGCAAUAAUAGUUUGUCAAUUGACACUUGAUAGCCGACAAUUAGCUUGCAUUAGUCUAAAUUGUUGUGCACACUAUAUGUACUAUUUUAUGAUAGCUGCCAUCAUAUUUGGCAAGCCUUUAAGGCUGUAUGUGCUUUAAUAAAUUGAAUAAUUGAUUCACUGCA